GAUGAACGCUGGCGGCGUGCCUAAUACAUGCAAGUCGAGCGAACAGAUAAGGAGCUUGCUCCUUUGACGUUAGCGGCGGACGGGUGAGUAACACGUGGGUAACCUACCUAUAAGACUGGAAUAACUCCGGGAAACCGGGGCUAAGGCAGGAUAACUUGUUGAACCGCAUGGUUCUACAGUGAAAGGCGGCUUUGCUGUCACUUAUAGAUGGACCCGCGCCGUAUUAGUUUGUUGGUGAGGUAACGGCCCACCAAGGCAACAAUAGGUAGCCGUCCUGAAAGCGUGGACGGCCACACUGGAACUGAGACUCGUCCCAGACUCCUACGGGGAGCAGCAGUAGGGAAUCUUCCGCGAUGGGCGAGUGGCUGACGGAGCGACGCCGCGUGAGUGAUGAAGGUCUUCGGAUCGGAAAACUCUGUUAUUAGGAAAAAACAAAUACGUUAGCAACUGUGCGCGUCUUGACGGUACCUAAUCAGAAAGCCACGGCUAACUACGUG
rnacentral:rRNA from 1 species